CUCAAUUUUUUGUCAGACUUGCAAGCAUUGGGUACAUAAGAAGUGCAGUAGUAUUGGUGGAAGGUUAAGAGCUGACAUUCAGUUUGUAUGCAAGCGUUGCAAAGGUGAGAUAAUAGAGAAUGAAGUAUUUCCAGCUUCAAUGAUGUACAACAGUGGCUCGUUAGAGAUAGUUGAGAACUUCUGUUACUUAGGUGAUAUGUUGGGCAGUGAAGGUGGUGUUGGAAGAAGUGUUACUUGCAGGAUAGGUUCUGCUUGGAAAAAGUUCAGAGAGUUACUUCCUUUAUUGACUAGCAGAGUCCUGUCAAUUGAGGUAAAAGGUAGAAUGAGGCCUGUGUAAGAAGUGUUAUGUUGUACGUUAGUGAGACAUGGGCAGUCAAGCAGGAAGAUCUUGACCGUUUAGAAAGGAAUAUGAGAAUGGUUAGGUGGAUGUGUAACGCCAGUCUGAGAGACAGAAAGAGUUCAGAUGAGCUAAGAAGCAGGCUAAGUCUCUGUAGAAUUAAAGAUGUUAUCCAGAUAAGAAGAUUGAAUUGGCU